AGGGGAGGAAGAGAAGAGAAAGAAGAGAAAAAUGGGGAAGAAAGGAAGAGAGAGAGAGAGAGAGAGAGAGACAGAGGGAAAGAAAAGAAAGAAGGAGGAAAAGAAAAGAAGCCUCGUUCAGAUUAGUCAAAUUACUUGAAUUCAAGCGACUUGAAAUAAUUGGAUUUGAUGAGAACGAUUUUCAAAAUUAAAGGGAAGGAACAGCGAAAGAAACCAAAAGAAAGAAGGUAAAAGUAAAAGA